rnacentral:tRNA from 1 species
AUUUAAAUAGUAUAAUAAUUAUAUUUGACUUCCAAUCAAAAGAUCUAAUUUUUAGUUUAAAUA